AACCGCCGUAUACCGAACGGUACGUACGGUGGUGUGAGAGGACGGGGUUAGUCACCCCUCCUUCUCGAU
rnacentral:misc_RNA from 1 species